UGAUAGCUGAGAAGCGAGAAGUUGCCAUCUUCCGCAGGAGAUGGGUUAUUCCGUGGAGCGAAUGUCUGGAGU
rnacentral:ncRNA from 1 species